AAAAAAUUCCAUAUAGCCACGAAAAUUAAGGCUCAGUCACGAAAAUUCAAAUGGCUAUAGGGAUUUUUUUUUUACUAGUAUAUAUAUAAGGGAGUUUUUUUUUUUUUAGUUAAAAGUUCUCGUUGCUCUAAUAUUAAAGUGGAUUCUUUGGCACACAAACUUAUUUUCCGAACCGCUAUUAAGUCUCAACGUAAACAAUGUUUUUUGUUCUUAGCUCGUUUGAGUCCUUUAUUUAAUGGUCUACAGUCCUAACAUUCACGACAAACAAAAAGUAACCAUAUCUGAUUUUAAACAAAACAUAAAUCCAGUAACCAACUCGAAUUGAUUU
rnacentral:lncRNA from 1 species